rnacentral:rRNA from 1 species
UGGGGAAUCUUGCACAAUGGGGGCAACCCUGAUGCAGCGACGCCGCGUGAGCGAUGAAGCCCUUCGGGGCGUAAAGCUCUUUCGACCGGAACGAUAAUGACGGUACCGGGAGAAGAAGCUGCGGCUAACUACGUGCCAGCAGCCGCGGUAAUACGUAGGCAGCAAGCGUUGUUCGGAGUUACUGGGCGUAAAGAGUGCGUAGGCGGUUUUCUAAGUUCGGUGUGAAAUCUCCCGGCUUAACUGGGAGGGUGCGCCGAAGACUGGGAAGCUGGAGUGUGGGAAAGGCUGGCGGAAUUCCUGGUGUAGCGGUGAAAUUCGUAGAUAUUCGCAAGAACACCAGUGGCGAAGGCGGUCUCUUGGUCCGACACUGACGCUGAGGCGCGAAAGCGUGGGGAGCAAACA